UGUUGGUCGGGCUGGCGG
rnacentral:miRNA from 1 species